GGUCCCUUGGCCCAGUUGGUUAAGGCGUCGUGCUAAUAAGCAACGCGAAGAUCAGCAGUUCGAUCCUGCUAGGGACCA
rnacentral:tRNA from 3 species